AGUGAACGCUGGCGGUAGGCCUAACACAUGCAAGUCGAACGGCAGCACAGUAAGAGCUUGCUCUUAUGGGUGGCGAGUGGCGGACGGGUGAGGAAUACAUCGGAAUCUACUCUGUCGUGGGGGAUAACGUAGGGAAACUUACGCUAAUACCGCAUACGACCUACGGGUGAAAGCAGGGGAUCUUCGGACCUUGCGCGAUUGAAUGAGCCGAUGUCGGAUUAGCUAGUUGGCGGGGUAAAGGCCCACCAAGGCGACGAUCCGUAGCUGGUCUGAGAGGAUGAUCAGCCACACUGGAACUGAGACACGGUCCAGACUCCUACGGGAGGCAGCAGUGGGGAAUAUUGGACAAUGGGCGCAAGCCUGAUCCAGCCAUACCGCGUGGGUGAAGAAGGCCUUCGGGUUGUAAAGCCCUUUUGUUGGGAAAAAAAUCCAGCUGGCUAAUACCCGGUUGGGAUGACGGUACCCAAAGAAUAAGCACCGGCUAACCUCGUGCCAGCAGCCGCGGUAAUACGAAGGGUGCAAGCGUUACUCGGAAUUACUGGGCGUAAAGCGUGCGUAGGUGGUCGUUUAAGUCCGUUGUGAAAGCCCUGGGCUCAACCUGGGAACUGCAGUGGAUACUGGGCGACUAGAGUGUGGUAGAGGGUAGCGGAAUUCCUGGUGUAGCAGUGAAAUGCGUAGAGAUCAGGAGGAACAUCCAUGGCGAAGGCAGCUAC
rnacentral:rRNA from 1 species